GCAGGACCAGUAUGAUCACCUGAACAAACAGAGAGGCUCAAGAAAUCUCUCAGUAACCUGAUCUGUCGUUAGUGCCAAGUCGCUUCAGUCGUGUCUGACCCUGUGAGAGCCCAUGGACCAGCCCACCAGGCUCCUCUGCCCAUGGAAUUCUUCAGGGAGGAUCAGUGUGUUACACAGCAAAUUUGUGGGGACCAAUAGCCCAUAGGCAAGGAGUUUAUUUAUUAGAGGCUGUAGUCCUUCCAAAAGCAGAGACAUUACUUUGCCAACAAAGGUCCGUCUAGUCAAGGCUAUGGUUUUUCCUGUGAUCAUGUAUGGAUGUGAGAGUUGGACUAUGAAGAAGGCUGAGCACCGAAGAAUUGAUGCUUUUGAACUGUGGUGUUGGAGAAGACUCUUGAGAGUCCCUUGGACUGCAAGGAGAUCCAACCAGUCCAUUCUGAAGGAGAUCAGCCCUGGGAUUUCUUUGGAAGGAAUGAUGCUAAAGCUGAAACUCCAGUGCUUUGGCCACCUCAUGCGAAGAGUUGACUCAUUGGAAAAGACUCUGCUGCUGGGAGGGAUUGGGGGCAGGAGGAGAAGGGGACGACAGAGGAUGAGAUGGCUGGAUGGCAUCACUGACUCGAUGGACGUGAGUCUGAGUGAACUCCAGGAGCUGGUGAUGGACAGGGAGGCCUGGCACACUGCGAUUCAUGGGGUCGCAAAGAGCCGGACACGACUGAGUGACUGAACUGAACUGAUGCCUAUGUCAGAAGCUUUCUCUAUCUCCUU
ensembl:lncRNA